CAGUAGCCCGGUAAUACGUAGGGUGCAAGCGUUAAUCGGAAUUACUGGGCGUAAAGCGUGCGCAGGCGGUUUGUUAAGACAGAUGUGAAAUCCCCGGGCUCAACCUGGGAACUGCAUUUGUGACUGUAUAGCUAGAGUACGGCAGAGGGGGAUGGAAUUCCGCGUGUAGCAGUGAAAUGCGUAGAUAUGCGGAGGAACACCGAUGGCGAAGGCAAUCCCCUGGGCCUGUACUGACGCUCAUGCACGAAAGCGUGGGGAGCAAACAGGAUUAGAUACCCCUGUAGUCCCUGUCUCUUAUACC
rnacentral:rRNA from 1 species